AACUUGGUUGGGUUGUUGCUGGCUCUUAGGAGCAAUGUGUGCACACCCGACU
rnacentral:rRNA from 1 species